rnacentral:rRNA from 1 species
CCUACGGGAGGCUGCAGUGGGGAAUAUUGGACAAUGGGGGCAACCCUGAUCCAGCCAUGCCGCGUGUGUGAAGAAGGCCCUCGGGUUGUAAAGCACUUUCAGUGAGGAAGAACGCCUGGUGGUUAAUACCCAUCAGGAAAGACAUCACUCACAGAAGAAGCACCGGCUAACUCCGUGCCAGCAGCCGCGGUAAUACGGAGGGUGCGAGCGUUAAUCGGAAUUACUGGGCGUAAAGCGCGCGUAGGUGGCUUGAUAAGCCGGUUGUGAAAGCCCCGGGCUCAACCUGGGAACGGCAUCCGGAACUGUCAAGCUAGAGGGCAGGAGAGGAAGGUAGAAUUCCCGGUGGAGCGGUGAAAUGCGUAGAGAUCGGGAGGAAUACCAGUGGCGAAGGCGGCCUUCUGGACUGACACUGACACUGAGGUGCGAAAGCGUGGGUAGCAAACAGGAUUAGAUACCCCUGUAGUC